GAUGAACGCUGGCGGCGUGCCUAAUACAUGCAAGUCGAGCGAACGGACGAGAAGCUUGCUUCUCUGAUGUUAGCGGCGGACGGGUGAGUAACACGUGGAUAACCUACCUAUAAGACUGGGAUAACUUCGGGAAACCGUAGCUAAUACCGGAUAAUAUUUUGAACCGCAUGGUUCAAAAGUGAAAGACGGUCUUGCUGUCACUUAUAGAUGGAUCCGCGCUGCAUUAGCUAGUUGGUAAGGUAACGGCUUACCAAGGCAACGAUGCAUAGCCGACCUGAGAGGGUGAUCGGCCACACUGGAACUGAGACACGGUCCAGACUCCUACGGGAGGCAGCAGUAGGGAAUCUUCCGCAGUGGGCGAAAGCCUGACGGAGCAACGCCGCGUGAGUGAUGAAGGUCUUCGGAUCGUAAAACUCUGUUAUUAGGGAAGAACAUAUGUGUAAGUAACUGUGCACAUCUUGACGGUACCUAAUCAGAAAGCCACGGCUAACUACGU
rnacentral:rRNA from 1 species